rnacentral:rRNA from 1 species
AGGGUGUAAACGCUGCAGACUUGGUGUUGGAAAUCCUUCGAGGGUAUUCAGUGCCGGAGAGAAGUUGUUAAGUCUGCUACUUGGGGAGUACGUCCGCAAGGAUGAAACUUAAAGGAAUUGGCGGGGGAGCACCGCAACGGGAGGAGCGUGCGGUUUAAUUGGACUCAACGCCGGAAGCUCACCGGAUAGGACAGCAGAAUGAUUGCCGGGCUGAAGACCCUGCAUGACUAGCUGAGAGGAGGUGCAUGGCGUAGACGUCU